rnacentral:rRNA from 1 species
UACGAAGGGGGCUAGCGUUGCUCGGAAUCACUGGGCGUAAAGCGCACGUAGGCGGGUCUUUAAGUCGGAGGUGAAAUCCUGGAGCUCAACUCCAGAACUGCCUUCGAUACUGAGGAUCUCGAGUCCGGGAGAGGUGAGUGGAACUGCGAGUGUAGAGGUGAAAUUCGUAGAUAUUCGCAAGAACACCAGUGGCGAAGGCGGCUCACUGGCCCGGUACUGACGCUGAGGUGCGAAAGCGUGGGGAGCAAACAGGG